GUAAUGUCUGCUAUCUAUUGUGACAGCUGAUGGUUCUGUAUUUCCUCAAGGUGUUUGAUUGUUUUCAAGUCAUUGUUAUGAGGAAGAAUAUGUUUGCAGAAAAACCUUGGCACCUCGUCUGAGUUCUCACAUUUCCCUCUCUGAACUCCACCCCUCUGAUGAAGAACCAAACAGGAAUGGGAGCAGCUGCUCUGUACAGAAGAGGGCUACAGAACAGUCUGUGAGAUGGUUGGUAUCACCAUUUGCUGUAUUGAAGGCACAAGAGAGUCCAUUAAACUCAGUGAAAAGAAACUGGUAACUUCAUUGAGUCACUGGAUCCACUUUGCAUAAUGGAAUAAAAUUGAAAGAAAUGCAGCGCAUCAGCAUCAGGAACAAUAAACACAAAUCAGGUAAGUUCA
rnacentral:lncRNA from 1 species